UUGAACGCUGGCGGCAGGCCUAACACAUGCAAGUCGAGCGGUAGCACAGAGAGCUUGCUCUCGGGUGACGAGCGGCGGACGGGUGAGUAAUGUCUGGGAAACUGCCUGAUGGAGGGGGAUAACUACUGGAAACGGUAGCUAAUACCGCAUAACGUCGCAAGACCAAAGUGGGGGACCUUCGGGCCUCAUGCCAUCAGAUGUGCCCAGAUGGGAUUAGCUAGUAGGUGGGGUAACGGCUCACCUAGGCGACGAUCCCUAGCUGGUCUGAGAGGAUGACCAGCCACACUGGAACUGAGACACGGUCCAGACUCCUACGGGAGGCAGCAGUGGGGAAUAUUGCACAAUGGGCGCAAGCCUGAUGCAGCCAUGCCGCGUGUGUGAAGAAGGCCUUCGGGUUGUAAAGCACUUUCAGCGGGGAGGAAGGCGAUAAGGUUAAUAACCUUGUCGAUUGACGUUACCCGCAGAAGAAGCACCGGCUAACUCCGUGCCAGCAGCCGCGGUAAUACGGAGGGUGCAAGCGUUAAUCGGAAUUACUGGGCGUAAAGCGCACGCAGGCGGUCUGUCAAGUCGGAUGUGAAAUCCCCGGGCUCAACCUGGGAACUGCAUUCGAAACUGGCAGGCUAGAGUCUUGUAGAGGGGGGUAGAAUUCCAGGUGUAGCGGUGAAAUGCGUAGAGAUCUGGAGGAAUACCGGUGGCGAAGGCGGCCCCCUGGACAAAGACUGACGCUCAGGUGCGAAAGCGUGGGGAGCAAACAGGAUUAGAUACCCUGGUAGUCCACGCCGUAAACGAUGUCGAUUUGGAGGUUGUGCCCUUGAGGCGUGGCUUCCGGAGCUAACGCGUUAAAUCGACCGCCUGGGGAGUACGGCCGCAAGGUUAAAACUCAAAUGAAUUGACGGGGGCCCGCACAAGCGGUGGAGCAUGUGGUUUAAUUCGAUGCAACGCGAAGAACCUUACCUGGUCUUGACAUCCACAGAACUUUCCAGAGAUGGAUUGGUGCCUUCGGGAACUGUGAGACAGGUGCUGCAUGGCUGUCGUCAGCUCGUGUUGUGAAAUGUUGGGUUAAGUCCCGCAACGAGCGCAACCCUUAUCCUUUGUUGCCAGCGGUUAGGCCGGGAACUCAAAGGAGACUGCCAGUGAUAAACUGGAGGAAGGUGGGGAUGACGUCAAGUCAUCAUGGCCCUUACGACCAGGGCUACACACGUGCUACAAUGGCAUAUACAAAGAGAAGCGACCUCGCGAGAGCAAGCGGACCUCAUAAAGUAUGUCGUAGUCCGGAUUGGAGUCUGCAACUCGACUCCAUGAAGUCGGGAUCGCUAGUAAUCGUAGAUCAGAAUGCUACGGUGAAUACGUUCCCGGGCCUUGUACACACCGCCCGUCACACCAUGGGAGUGGGUUGCAAAAGAAGUAGGUAGCUUAACCUUCGGGAGGGCGCUUACCACUUUGUGAUUCAUGACUGGGGUG
rnacentral:rRNA from 1 species